rnacentral:rRNA from 1 species
ACACCGGCAGCUCUAGUGGUAGCUGUUUUUAUUGGGCCUAAAGCGUUCGUAGCCGGUUUGAUAAGUCACUGGUGAAAUCCUGUAGCUUAACUGUGGGAAUUGCUGGUGAUACUGUUGAACUUGAGGUCGGGAGAGGUUAGCGGUACUCCCAGGGUAGAGGUGAAAUUCUGUAAUCCUGGGAGGACCACCUGUGGCGAAGGCGGCUAACUGGAACGAACCUGACGGUGAGGGACGAAAGCUAGGGGCGCGAACCGGAUUAGAUACCCGGGUAGUCCUAGCCGUAAACGAUGCGGACUUGGUGUUGGGAUGGCUUUGAGCCGCUCCGGUGCCGAAGGGAAGCUGUUAAGUCCGCCGCCUGGGAAGUACGGCCGCAAGGCUAAAACUCAAAGGAAUUGACGGGG